UCAGGAUGAACGCUAGCUACGGGCCUAACACAUGCAAGUCGAGGGGUAGCGUGAGGGAAGCUUGCUCCCUGACGACGACCGGCGAAUGGGUGAGUCACGCGUGUCCAACCUGCCCCGUGCCCGGGGAUAGCCCUUGGAAAUGAGGAUUAAGACCCGAUAUGUGGCGCUUCCGCAUGGCGGCGCCAUGAAGCAGGCACGGGAUGGGGACGCGUCGGAUUAGCUUGACGGCGGGGCAACGGCCCACCGUGGCGACGAUCCGCAGGGGUUCUGAGAGGAAGGUCCCCCACACUGGCACUGAGACACGGGCCAGACUCCUACGGGAGGCAGCAGUGAGGAAUAUUGGUCAAUGGGCGGGAGCCUGAACCAGCCCAAGUAGCGUGCAGGACGACGGCCCUACGGGUUGUAAACUGCCUUUCCGGGAGGAUAAAGUGAGCCACGCGUGGUUCAUUGCAGGUAUCCCGGGAAUAAGGACCGGCUAAUUCCGUGCCAGCCGCGGC
rnacentral:rRNA from 1 species